GGCAAUCAAAACCAGAUUGUGUGGAGUAUUAACCAAGGUCAUCAAUCAAUAGAUCAACGGGGGUCAAAAAUAAAUAAAGUUGCUUUAAGUCGCGUGACAUUUCUAAACUGUAAGAAUUAUUAACACGUUGUUGGAAAAAAUAGGCCUCAAAGCAUCAUGGACUCGUAAGAGAUGUUUACGUCGAGCUAUCACGGACUGUUUCACGAAAUCUGAUCGCCAUAAGCAGUAAGCGAUACCUAAAGCGUUGUCACUGGACCAAUCCAAAAAAAUUUUUUUUUGUUUUAAAUCAAGAAGUACAGAAAUAGAAAUAUAUUUUUGGGCAGACGAGCAGAUUACUGUCUAUUUUAAGGUAAGUAGCACAGCCAAGUCCAUCCGUGCGAUUCUGUAAGCGUUGUUUAACAAACUCGCACGUGAAUUUGGUGUGAGUUUUCAAAUUGGCAUUCUGUAAAUUUCAUUGUAGUGCCGAAUCUACACUAGCGCCCCUCGCGGGUGAAUUGAACUAGCAAGCGUGAGUUUUUUUUACUAAAAUGUAUGAGUUGACGUUUGAAACGGCAUUCUGUAGUGUAAAUCACGUCGAAUUUCGGCAAGAACUUCGCAUCGCAAAAUCAUUUUAUUUGUCAAAUCAAAAGUUAGUGUUUUAAGUGUUUGUUGUGAGUGAGAAUAUACGAAAACGUUAUAAACCGCUGUUAAUUAUUAAAAAAAUACUAUUAAUUAACAAAAUUGCACUUUAAAAUAACUUUAUUCUUCAUCGAUAUUUUAUGGAGCAUAUGUUUUUAUUGAAAACAUUGUUGAAAAGGCUGACGCUACGGAUCAGCGUGAAAUGCGUCGACAAGCCUACGAAAUUCACAAUUUAUCACUUUUAACUUGAGAUGACGACUAUGUAAAAGUAUAAAGAAAGUGUAUAGAUUGUCGAAGGAUCAUAUGAACCAGUUAGGGUGUGAAUUACACCCUUUGACGAAGACCACUAAAAGCCAUUGAAAAGGACUUUCAACUCUUCUAAAGUUUCAGUUACUGUGCACCUUGUUUAUUUGGGCAAAUGAAGUUACCAAAAAAAUCAUAAAAGAAAAUAUAAGAACAUAUUUGUCCCAGAUAUCCCAGUGUAUAUCUGAGGUUGUGGAAGCUCUGAACAACCCAGCAACUAUAUAUAAAUAUUUAAGAUUCCCGCAGAAUGCUCAAGAAUGGCAAAAGUUGAAGGAAAACUGAAGAAAAAAGAAGAAGGUGGUUUAAACUAAAUAAAUAUCUUUCUUCUUCAUAAAAAAGUACCAAUAUUAAUCUAAUGCAAAAUAUUGCAGUUUUUGUAAUAAAAUUAAAAUCACUUUGGUUGUUGGGUGUAUUGAUGGGACGUUGGUGGCCUUAAAAAGACCUGCUACCAAUAAAAAAUGGUUUUACUGUCACAAAGGCUAUCAUGCCAGAAAAUGUACAAUUUGUAAAGCCAUUAAUAUUUUUCGAAAUUCUGAUGAUAUGUAAUCCAUAAACGAAAUGUGUAUUAUGAACUAUGUAUUCAGAUUGUAUUCAUUUCAGUUAAAUUGAAUUGUGUAUAUUGCUUUAAAGUUAUUGUGAAAUUUAGUAUUUAUAUUAAAUAAACUUUAUUCAGUUAUAAAAAAAACAAAAUAAAAUCUACUAAAGAUUAGUCAAUGACAGCAAGUAAUGACCAUUAUAAUUAUUUAACAUCUUUUCGGUCUUUCUGUAUAUGCUCAACGUUCCAACCUUACGAAACCUUUUGCUAAUUUUUUUUCAUUUCACCAUCUAAAUGGUUAGACGAGCUCACAGCCCACCUGGUGUUAAGUGGUUACUGGAGCCCUUGGACAUCUACAACGUAAAUGCGCCACCAACCUUGAGAUAUAAAUUCAAAGGUCUCAGUAUAGUUACAACGGCUGCGCCACCCUUCAAACCGAAACGCAUUACUGCUUCAGAAAUAGGCGAUAAUGCUAUGCUAGCUAAUACCUGCUAAUAAUGGCUAGCUAAUGCUAAUACGGAGAGAGAUACUCCUGAAGCUUUGUAGCACCACCUUCAUUCCACUGCCCAUAACUCAGUGAAAAGAACAAUAGUUCUGUUAGAGUAGAUUCAGGUGUUUGCUGAUCCAUAGGGUGCCAAUUUAUCACCCUGAUAAGGUAGCAAAAAUAGCUGUUGCGUGUUGUGUUUUGCACAACAUUUGCAAUUGUGCAGAGCUGCCAGUUCCCAUAAUCUCAGACUAUGAGAUUACAUUUACAUUAUGGUGGUCAUGUUGAAUUACUUUGUUAAAUUCUACUAAUUAGCUUACUUAUAGUGUGAAGUAACUUCAAAUAUAAAUUAAUGAUUUAUAAAAA